GACGAACGCUGGCGGCGUGCUUAACACAUGCAAGUCGAACGGUAAGGCCCUUCGGGGUACACUAGUGGCGAACUGGUGAGUAACACGUGGUUGCUCUGCCCUCCACUUCGGGAUAAGCCUGGGAAACUGGGUCUAAUUCCGGAUAGGACCACUGCCUCCACGUGUGGUGGUGGAAAGCUUUUGCGGUGUGGGAUGGGCCCGCGGCCUAUCAGCUUGGUGGUGGGGCGAUGGCCUACCAAGGCGACGACGGGUAGCCUGCCUGAGAGGGUGACCGGCCACACUGGGAAUGAGAUACGGCCCAGACACCUACGGGAGGCAGCAGUGGGGAAUAUUGCACAAUGGGCGCAAGCCUGAUGCAGCGACGCCGCGUGAGGGAUGACGGCCUUCGGGUUGUAAACCUCUUUCAGCACCGACGAAGCGCAAGUGACGGUAGGUGCAGAAGAAGGACCGGCCAACUACGUGCCAGCAGCCGCGGUAA
rnacentral:rRNA from 1 species